rnacentral:rRNA from 1 species
GACAGAGGGUGCAAACGUUGUUCGGAAUUACUGGGUGUAAAGCGUGUGUAGGCGGUCUCUUAAGUCGGAUGUGAAAGCCCCGGGCUCAACCCGGGAAGUGCACUCGAAACUGGGAGGCUAGAGUACUGGAGAGGUUGGUGGAAUUCUCGGUGUAGAGGUGAAAUUCGUAGAUAUCGUGAGGAACACCGGUGGCGAAGGCGGCCAACUGGACAGAUACUGACGCUGAGACACGAAAGCGUGGGGAGCAAACAGG